ACUACGCCUACGGGAAGCAGCAGUAGGGAAUUUUCGUCAAUGGGGGCAACCCUGAACGAGCAAUGCCGCGUGAGCGAAGAAGGUCUUCGGAUUGUAAAGCUCUGUUGCCGGGGAAAAAGGAAGGAAAGAGGAAAUGCUUUUUCUUUGGAUGGUACCCGGCCCAGAAAGUCACGGCUAACUACGUGCC
rnacentral:rRNA from 1 species